rnacentral:lncRNA from 1 species
ACGAACCCAUCUGAGGUCAUCUUGGGCUCCAAAAACGCAAUAAAAGCCCAACACGUCACUAUUCCAGCACCGCGCACUGCUCCUUUAUUUUAUUGCCAGAAAAUAACCGCUUGGAAGAAAAAUCUGAAAUUUUGAUACGAUCAAGAUAAGUGACUCAAGAACGUCCUCCAACUGGAAUUACUCUAACAUUCUUCAAUUUGAUUAUAUUUUGCUCCAGUGAGAGUCGAAAGUCCUAUGUUGGAAAUAUAAUUCAAAGUAUCAAAAUUCUUCCAAAAUAUUAACCAAAAUAUACUAAGAAUGAGGUUAAAUAUAUAAUAUAAAAUAUGUCCAUCAGAACUCAUACACAUCAUCUAGUGAGUUAAAGGGUUGACAUCACAUGGUUAUGUUUCUCAGUGAACCAAGAAAUUAUGUACUUGUUAGACUCAGCUGCUUUUGAGGCCACAACUCUUGGCUUACAGCCUUCUCUACAUUUGCCUCACAUUCUUUUGUGUUUGGGAUCCUUGGGUGGCUCAUAACACCCUUGUCUACAACAUACGAACUCUUUUCUUAUUAUCUCAUUUGUAAAUCUUAUCCUUUUACUUGAAUGUUUUCGAAUACCAAACUCGGAGUUUCUUGCAUAAGUCUUGUAGAACUCAUACACAUCAUCAAGUGAGUUAAAUUCUUUCCCCACUUGUGGUUCCAAAUUCAUACUUACUAUCAGUAUCACUCCCACUUCAUCAUUCAUUUUAUUAUUAUCUUCCUCUAUCCCAUCAACUUGGUUUUCUACUUCUGUAUUCACGUCCAUUUUUCUAAAAGUUGCAACAACGUAGUGAAAAUCAUAUUAUUUCCAAAAGCUCUUAGCAUAUGUGGUGCAAUUUUGAUCCAAUCUUUCAUAUAAAGUAUGGUGCAAUUAAUAGUUGUUAUACAAAAUAAUUAUUCUUAAUACAACAAUUACCCAUUUCUUAAUCAUACCAAUAAGACAAAUAUGUUAUAAAUCCAUACGUUAUGGGUGGUAAAUGAUUUAGGCCUCUCUACCCAUAUAAAUAGUGGCACCAAAUAUGAAUAGAAUACAAGUUGAUUUGAGCAAAUUAUACUGUCUCUCUCUUCCUCUUAUUUCUCCCUACAAAUUCCCUAGUUUCACAACAAAAUAUUCAUAAUAGCAGUUUCUCAUACCUAUUCACAAUUUAAUCAUAUUUCAUCACCAACAUAUUGACAUUUGAGUGAUAUUUGUUUAACAUAUAAACAAAAUUAUAACUAUCUGCACUGAACACUUUUGCAAAUUUUUGUUCUUUUAACCUAACAACAAUUUUGCUCUCCACCGUACUCGAUGCAAUCCUAACAAAUGGUCUAAGCCACUGUUAAUAUACCAUAUUCCCCAUCUCCAUUGGAUUUUAUUUUUUUAUUUUUUGGGUUGAAAACCCCUUUUAAUACGAAAAUGGAGAACGGAAGAGAUAACACAAACUGCUGCUUCACAACCAAACAAACCAGGGAAUCAAAGAAAGGUUGAAACAUGCCCUUGGGUAACCCACAUAGGCCAGCAUUCAUAAACAUUCCAAAACCAAAUUAUGACUAAAAACUAUAGAAUGUUCAUAAUCACUUACUAGUAAUGCACUUCCCAAGGUGAGUUGAGAAAAAUUAGGCGAGUUGAGCUUCAGAUGAUGUCGCAAACUGUACGACCAGGGCAGGUCCAUAAACAAAUUGGAUGAGUUUGCCCUCAAAUCUCAUCCAAGCUCAACGAAGAGCCAACCAAAUGAGUUUGCCCUCAAAUCUCUUCCAAGCUCAACGAAGAGCCAGUUGUGUUUCAUCGGUAUUUGUCAAGCUUUGGGUCUUUUAUUUUGGG